rnacentral:rRNA from 1 species
CAGGCCUAACACAUGCAAGUCGAACGCGAAAGGGGCUUCGGCCCUGAGUAGAGUGGCGAACGGGUGAGUAACACGUGGGUGAUCUACCUUCGAGUGGGGGAUAACCUUCCGAAAGGAGGGCUAAUACCGCAUGACGUUCCGGGUUUGAAGACCGGGAAACCAAAGUCGGGGACCGCAAGGCCCGACGCUUGGAGAGGAGCCCGCGCCUGAUUAGCUAGUUGGUGGGGUAACGGCUCACCAAGGCGACGAUCAGUAGCCGGCCUGAGAGGGCGGACGGCCACACUGGGACUGAGACACGGCCCAGACUCCUACGGGAGGCAGCAGUGGGGAAUUGUUCGCAAUGGGCGCAAGCCUGACGACGCAACGCCGCGUGGAGGAUGAAGGUCUUCGGAUUGUAAACUCCUGUUGACCGGGAAGAAUGGGCCUCGGGAUAAUACUCCGGGGCAAUGACGGUACCGGUUGAGGAAGCCACGGCUAACUCUGUGCCAGCAGCCGCGGUAAUACAGAGGUGGCAAGCGUUGUUCGGAAUUACUGGGCGUAAAGGGCGCGUAGGCGGCCCUCUUAGUCGGACGUGAAAUCCCCAGGCUUAACUUGGGAACUGCGUCCGAUACUGGAGGGCUCGAGUGCGGGAGAGGGAUGUGGAAUUCCAGGUGUAGCGGUGAAAUGCGUAGAUAUCUGGAGGAACACCGGUGGCGAAGGCGGCA